UACUCGGGUUGGUUCACUUCACACUCUCCCUUGUCUGGAGAGUGUCGUAUGGCUAUCAAGAUAUAUGGCCAACAUAAUUUAUGGAAUCUUGUAGGGUUGGUUCGUUGGGCCGACCCUCUU